AUGAACGCUGGCGGCGUGCCUAAUACAUGCAAGUCGAGCGAACAGACGAGGAGCUUGCUCCUCUGACGUUAGCGGCGGACGGGUGAGUAACACGUGAUAACCUACCUAUAAGACUGGGAUAACUUCGGGAAACCGGAGCUAAUACCGGAUAAUAUAUUGAACCGCAUGGUUCAAUAGUGAAAGACGGUUUUGCUGUCACUUAUAGAUGGGUCCGCGCCGCAUUAGCUAGUUGGUAAGGUAACGGCUUACCAAGGCGACGAUGCGUAGCCGACCUGAGAGGGUGAUCGGCCACACUGGAACUGAGACACGGUCCAGACUCCUACGGGAGGCAGCAGUAGGGAAUCUUCCGCAAUGGGCGAAAGCUUGACGGAGCAACGCCGCGUGAGUGAUGAAGGUCUUCGGAUCGUAAAACUCUGUUAUUAGGGAAGAACAAAUGUGUAAGUAACUAUGCACGUCUUGACGGUACCUAAUCAGAAAGCCACGGCUAACUACGUG
rnacentral:rRNA from 1 species